GAAUGACUCUCGGCAACGGAUAUCUCGGCUCUCGCAUCGAUGAAGAACGUAGCGAAAUGCGAUACUUGGUGUGAAUUGCAGAAUCCUGUGAACCAUCGAGUCUUUGAACGCAAGUUGCGCCCGAAGCCAUUAGGCCGAGGGCACGCCUGCCUGGGUGUCACAC
rnacentral:rRNA from 1 species